rnacentral:lncRNA from 1 species
CUUUGAGCACUGGGGAAGGCGGCAGGAAGAAAACCCUUGACUCGGAGAUGGGAAGAACUUGCAUUCAUUGUGCACCCCUUAGACAACUGUCUGUUCCAUCACACACCAAGGCCUUCAUGGACAUCUCUGGCCCUGCUGAAAUGGAAUAAAGAAACUCCCGGCCAGGCGCGGUGGCUCACACCUGUAAUCCCAGCACUUUGGGAGGGUGAGGCGGGCAGAUUACGAUGUCAAGAAAUUGAGACCAUUCUAGCCAACAUGGUGAAACCCCGUCUCUACUAAAAAUACAAAAAUUAACCGGGCGUGGUGGUGGACAUCUGUAGUCCGAGCUACUCGGGAAACUGAGGCAGGAGAAUUGCUUGCACUAGGAGGUGGAGGUUUCAGUGAGCCGAGAUCGCGCCACUGUACUCCACCCUGGGUGACAGAGCAAGACUCUCUCAAAAAAAAAAAAAAAAAAAAAAAAGUAAGCAUUUGGUCUAAAUUAUGCAAGUCAGAUAUUAAGUUUACUAAAUGCUUUAAGGUCAUAAAGUGCUUCUUUGUCUUUUGAAAAUUGUUCAAUUUACCUACUUUGGAGCAUUAGAUUCUAAAUAAAGACUAGGAUAUGUGGAAUUAGCCAUGCCCCCUAGCUAUGCAAAGAAGGUUAUAAAGAAAAGAUUUUAAGGCUGGGUGUGGUGGCUCACACUCAUAAUCCCAGCAUUUUGGGAGGCCGAGGAGGGUGGAUUACUUGAGGUCAGGAGUUUUAGACUAGCCUGGCCAACAUGGCAAAACCCCAUCUCUACUGAAAAUACAAAAAUGAGCCGGGAGUGGUGUCAGGCACCUGUAAUCUCAGCUACUCAGGAGGCUGAGGCAGGAGAACCAUUUCAACCCGGGAGGUGGAGGUUGUAGUGAGCCAAGAUCGGGCCACUGCACUCCAGCCUGGGCGAUAGGGCAAGACUCUGUCUCAAAAAAAAAAGAAAGAAAAGAAAAGAAAUAAAAGAAGAAAUUUUGUAUAAGAAAGGAUGUUGUAUGGUGAAUACUUGUCCUAAAGUAAAAUGACUGAUUGCUUUAAAAAAGGGAAUUUAUGCAAGAAAUAUAUAAGUUAAAGGUUUCUGGGUCUCCUAAAUGCUUCAUAAAAUGCCAUUAGGACUCUUAACUGUACAACUUUCCUGCUUUACAGCUAGAUAAGGCCUGGGACACAUGAAGUUAGACAACGAAAAGAGUCAGACCUUAUCUGCACUUCUGUCUACUGUCACAGGCUCCACACCUAGCACAUAAUUAAAAAUCUGAACUCAACCAGGCACAGUGGCUCACGCCUGUAAUCCCAGAACUUUGGGAGUCCGAGACAGGUGGAUCACGAGGUCAAGAGAUUGAGACCAUCCUGGCCAACAUGGUAAAACCCUGUCUCUACUAAAAAUACAAAAUUUAACUAGGCAUGGUGGUGCUACUUGGGAGGCUGUGGGAGGAGAAUCACUUGAACCCGGGAGGCUGCGGUUACAGUGAGCUGAGAUCGGGCCACUGCACUCCAGCCUGGCAACAGAGCAAGACUCCGUCUAAAAAAAAAAUUCUGAACUUACCAAGGUUUUCACCAAAAGUAAAAGUUGCUAAGAGUUAACAGUGUAACAUAUAUUUGGGACUACUAAAAAAAAAGUUAUACGUGCAAGGUGUAUAGAAAAAGUGAAAUGUGGCCGGGUGC